UAAAUACUCCCUCCGUCCAGAAUUAUUUGUCGUAGAAAUGGAUAUAUCUAGACGUAUGUUUAGUUCUAGAUACAUCCAUUUCUGUCCCUUUUUACGACAAGUAAUUCAGGACGUAGGGAGUGCGUA
rfam:Hordeum vulgare subsp. vulgare, WGS project CAJW01000000 data, contig: morex_contig_2552404